CGGGGUGUGGCGCAGUCCGGUAGCGCGUCGGCUUUGGGAGCCGAAGGUCCCGGGUUCGAAUCCCGGCGCCCCGA
rnacentral:tRNA from 1 species